UACGGGAGGCAGCAGUGGGGGAUAUUGCGCAAUGGGGGCAACCCUGACGCAGCAACGCCGCGUGAAGGAUGAAGGUUUUCGGAUUGUAAACUUCUUUUGUUAGGGACGAAUAAUGACGGUACCUAACGAAUAAGCUCCGGCUAACUACGUGCCAGCAGCCGCGGUAAU
rnacentral:rRNA from 1 species